rnacentral:tRNA from 3 species
GUAGCUCAGUUGGAUAGAGUAUCUGGCUACGAACCAGAGGGUCGGGCGUUCGAAUCGCUCC